GAAAGAGUAAAUAUUAUUGGUUUAGUAGUUAAUUUGAGGUGUUAUUAUUAAAGUGUUAAUUUUUAGGUGAAAUUUUAAUUUUCUAAUAUUUAUAUUUAUUUGAAGCUACGAAAUUUAUAUUAAAAACAAGGAUUAGAUACCCUUUUAUUAUAAAUGUGAAUAUUUAAACCAGGGUAGUAAUAGUUAUGUUCUUGAAACCCAAAGAAUUUGGCGGUAUUUUAGUCCUUUCAGAGGAACCUGUCCCGUAAUUGACAAUCCACGAUAUUAUAUACUUAUUUUUGUUUUCAGUUUGUAUACCUCCGUCAUAAGAGAAUCUUUUUAGAGUUUGAAUUUUCUUAAUAUAAUAAAUAUAUUAUGUCAGGUCAAGGUGCAAUUUAUAAAUAAGUGGAGAUGGGUUACAAUAAAAUUAUUUAAACGGAUUAAAUUAAUUACAAUUUUUUAUGAAGGUGGAUUUGAUAGUAAUUUUAAUUAUUAAUUAUUAUGAUUUUGGCUCUAAAAUAUGCACACANNNNNNNNNNNNNNNCUUAUUAAAAUGAGAUAAGUCGUAACAUAGUAGGUGUAUCGGAAGAUGUACCUAGUAAGU
rnacentral:rRNA from 1 species